rnacentral:rRNA from 1 species
AAUCAACGCUGGCGGCGUGCCUAACACAUGCAAGUCGAACGCGAAAGCCCCGCAAGGGGUGAGUAGAGUGGCAAACGGGUGAGUAACACGUGGGUGACCUGCCUUCGAGUGGGGGAUAACGUCCCGAAAGGGACGCUAAUACCGCAUAACAUCCUGCCUUUUAAGAGGUGGACAUCAAAGCUGGGGAUCGCAAGACCUAGCGCUUGAAGAGGGGCCCGCGCCUGAUUAGCUAGNGGUUGGGGUAAUGGCUCACCAAGGCAACGAUCAGUAUCCGGCCUGAGAGGGCGGACGGACACACUGGGACUGAGACACGGCCCAGACUCCUACGGGAGGCAGCAGUGGGGAAUUGUUCGCAAUGGGCGCAAGCCUGACGACGCAACGCCGCGUGGAGGACGAA